CUGGACCUGUGCCUGCUGACGCGUCAACAGCGGCGACUGUGCGUGCGUGCGUGUGCGCGACUGCGUGUGCUUGCGGCGAAAUUGCGGGCCCCAUGCUGCAACAGUGUGCGGCCGAGCUGCGCGCGCCUCAUACACACCGUGCUAUUCUUGCGCUGCAGCCUUCCGUCGCCUGCGCAACAAUCUUCUGCGACUGUGGCUAGCGACCCGCUGGUUGCCUCCCGGCACCUGUCACCGCGCCAACAAGUAUGCGCGAGCCGAGGAACAUCUUUAGUUGAGGCUAGAGGCGCGGCCUCCGAUGAGCACACUGCUGGCGAGCGUCCUGCUGCUGCUGUCCACGGUCGCGGCUGCUCAGAAGUGCCCUACGGACUGCGAGUGCGGGCCCGGCGGGCUGCGCGUCGACUGUCCCCACCUGUCGGCCAUCCCCGCCGAGCUGCCGGAGGGCGCGCUGCUGGUGAACGUGUCUGGCUGCGGGGGC